rnacentral:rRNA from 1 species
UACGUAGGGUGCAAGCGUUAAUCGGAAUUACUGGGCGUAAAGCGUGCGCAGGCGGUUGUGCAAGACCGAUGUGAAAGCCCCGGGCUCAACCUGGGAAUGGCAUUGGAAACUGGCUGGCUAGAGUGUGGCAGAGGGGGGUGGAAUUCCGCGUGUAGCAGUGAAAUGCGUAGAGAUGCGGAGGAACACCGAUGGCGAAGGCAGCCCCCUGGGCUGACACUGACGCUCAGGCACGAAAGCGUGGGGAGCAAACAGG